AGAGUUUGAUCCUGGCUCAGAAUGAACGUUGGCGGCGUGGAUUAGGCAUGCAAGUCGAGCGAGAACCUUUUUACGGAAGCUUCGGCCGAAGUAUUAAGGGGACAGCGGCAAACGGGGUAGUAAUGCGUCGGAAUGUGCCCUCAGGUCGGGGAUAGCCGUGGGAAACUGCGGGUAAUACCCGAUAAUCUCGAGAGAGCAAAGGUCCGCCGUCUGAGGAGCGGCCGACGUGGUACCAGGUUGUUGGUGAGGUAACGGCUCACCAAGCCUAAGACGCCUAGGGGGUGUGAGAGCAUGGCCCCCACCACUGGGACUGAGACACUGCCCAGACACCUACGGGUGGCUGCAGUCGAGAAUCUUCGGCAAUGGGCGCAAGCCUGACCGAGCGACGCCGCGUGCGGGAUGACGGCCCUUGGGUUGUAAACCGCUGUCAGAGGGGAGGAAAGCUUCGGCUUGACCGAGCCUCAGAGGAAGCACGGGCUAAGUUCGUGCCAGCAGCCGCGGUAAGACGAACUGUGCGAACGUUAUUCGGAAUCACUGGGCUUACAGGGUGCGUAGGCGGCUUGUCAGGUCAGGUGUGAAAUCCCACGGCCCAACCGUGGAACUGCGCUUGAAACCGACAAGCUUGAGUAAGCUAGGGGUGCACGGAACUUCCAGUGGAGCGGCGAAAUGUGUUGAUAUUGGAAGGAACACCAGAAGCGAAAGCGGUGCACUGGGGC
rnacentral:rRNA from 1 species